rnacentral:rRNA from 1 species
CCUACGGGACGCACCAGUAGGGAAUCUUCCACAAUGGACGCAAGUCUGAUGGAGCAACGCCGCGUGAGUGAAGAAGGGUUUCGGCUCGUAAAGCUCUGUUGUUGGUGAAGAAGGACAGGGGUAGUAACUGACCUUUGUUUGACGGUAAUCAAUUAGAAAGUCACGGCUAACUACGUGCCAGCAGCCGCGGUAAUACGUAGGUGGCAAGCGUUGUCCGGAUUUAUUGGGCGUAAAGCGAGUGCAGGCGGCUCGAUAAGUCUGAUGUGAAAGCCUUCGGCUCAACCGGAGAAUUGCAUCAGAAACUGUCGAGCUUGAGUGCAGAAGAGGAGAGUGGAAUUCCACGUGUAGCGGUGAAAUGCGUAGAGAUGUGGAGGAACACCAGUGGCGAAGGCGACUCUCUGGUCUGUAACUGACGCUGAGGAGCGAAAGCGUGGGGAGCGAACAGGAUUAGAUACCCUCGUAGUC